rnacentral:lncRNA from 1 species
GCACUUUCCAUUCGCUCUCGAGCUCAGGCAGCCAUGUGAUGAAGUUCUGCUCUCUCCUCACACCUGCUCAUCAUGUGGAUGGAAUAAGAUGCUUUCAAACGACGAUGCCUCGUGCAUCUUCAGCAAACUAGUCGUGGAUGUGAUUUCUAAUCGAGGAUGUUCGUUUACCCGUUUCACAUCCAGAUGAGCGGGUUUUCGGUGCCAUGGGGAGUCCAAGGGGAUAGGCAGCUGGAGCUCGGAGUCGCCCGCAGGAGGAAGUGGAGGCAGUGCUGCCUCAUGAGGCUGAUGCAACAUGAGGAUAGGCAGGCAAAUGAAGGAUGUUAAAGGAAUCAUGGGAAGGAUAUGAUCUGGAUACGUUCAUAUCACAUCAGUGAUGGUGAAAGUAACAUCAAUCAUAGUUCACAGAUCAUCAUACGAAGAUGGCGAAGAUGGUUCAAUCAAAG